rnacentral:other from 1 species
UUUACCCUGGGGUGUGCGACAGCUCGCCUUUGGUGAUUGAUCCAACACAAUCACUAAGGGAGCAGAACUCCAGCCGUUUUUGAGCAAGCCCUCCUCGUUGAGGGAAGCCUUCCGAUGGCCGGGUACGCACCCACCUGCGAUAAGCGGGUUCAAUGCCCGGCGAGUACCGGCACCGUGGGGUAGAA